CAGGCAAGGUUUCUCUGUGUAGCCCUGGCUGUCCUGGAACUUACUCUGUAGACCAGGUCAACAAGGAUUACACAUUAAGAGAGACUGUCUAUAAAUGAAUGAAUGAAUGAAUGAAUGAAUGAAUGAAUGAAUGAAAACAAAGCCAAUAAACAAAGAUCUCACAUAACAGCCCACAGGCAGGAUGAAAUUCCUAACUACUAAAGUAAAGAAGGAAAUGAAGAGAGUCAUAAAGAAGAAAGAGGACCUGACAGGCCAUCAGACUAUAGGCAUAGAUGGGCUGGUUAAUGUAACAAAAGGGAGAAGAACAUGCUGGAAGGAAACAGACCGAAGAGCUGAGAGAAGACUGAGCACCAGCACUCUAAGGUUCAUCUGGACAGGGCUGGGCAACUGGAAAACCCAGUGGCCAGGGGUCCUCCUGCUUACCUUUAGCAGAGUCCUUAAGUAGGCAUGUACAGCGCUGGACCAGUAGAGAAAACAUAGCCAAGCCCAAGGAUGCAGCUUGUUCCUGGAUCACAGAACGACACUCCUCUGAGAAGCAGUCUGCAAAGAAGCAAAGGAAACUCCAUCACACUCUAGGGGCCAAGUGCUACUCUGCUGCCCUAUAGAAGGGCUCCCUGACCACAGUGCUCAGCUUUGUUUUCUUUCCCUAAAAUGACAGGUGGUGGUUGUAAGCUCUCUUGAAGUAGAUUUAUGACUUUAUAUUAUAUAUAUAGCACUUGCCAGCAUGCCCUGCACACAGAAGAAUGCCUGAUAUCACAAGAUCCCCUAUGCAAGUCUUUUAAAUUUUUAAUUUAUUAUUUUUAAUUAAAAAUGUACCACUCAUUACAUAAAAUUUAACACAAUUCCAUUUUAGUCUCUCCCAUAUACAUAUUUUAAUUUUAUAUACAAUGGUGUGAUGGUGUCAGAUACCUCAGAACUAGACAGUUAUAGACAGUUGUGAACGGCCAAGUGGGGGCUGGGAAUUAAACUCAGGUCCUUGGGAAUAGCAGCCAGUGCUCUUAACCACUGAGCAACCUCUCCAACCCCUAGGUUCUUCUAGAUUACACGGUGUGAGAAAUUUCUAGCAAAGAGAAAUGUAUGUAAGAAGGCAAUACCACAAAGUCACUUUCUUUUCUAGAAUGCUCAACGUUAGAUCAUUGGAAAAAGGUGAAAUCUUACAUAACUCAAUUGUAUCUUGUUUUAAAUUUUAUCUUUAAAAUAAUUUUAUACAUGUACAUAAUGUAGUUUGAGUAUAUUCACUCUUUACCCUCUCUUACCCCUUGCUAGUCCCUCUGAACCCCUUGUAGUUCCCAACAAGUCCCCCUCUUAUUUUCCUAUCUUUUAUUUUUAAUUUUUUUGCUUUAGAGAUUUCUUUGUAUUUUAUGUGUGCCUCACUUGCAUGUGAAUGUGCAGACGAUGUGCAUGGCUAGGGCUUGGGGAUGCCAGACAGGUCCUCUGGGAGUUACGGACACUGUGAGCCUCCAAACCCAAACUCCAGCCCCUGCCAUUUCUUUAAAAAACAUUAUUUAUUCUUUGGUAACCAUAUAUGAGUGCAUUUAGAUCAUGUGCACCUCCCUACUCCACCCUCCAUUUUUUCAGUGACCCACCAAGAUUAAUUAAAGUAGCUAGUGUGAGCAUGGGUAUAGGUUAUUAUUAAAGUAGCUAGUGUGAGCAUGGGUAUAGGUUAUUAUUAAAGUAGCUAGUGUGAGCAUGGGUAUAGGUUAUUAUUAAAGUAGCUAGUGUGAGCAUGGGUAUAGGUUAUUAUUUAGUGGAGCAUAAGCAGCUCAUCAUAGGUUAUACACCGAUGAAAAAUGAUUCCUUCACCACCUCUAUAAAUUCUUUAUCACAUCACUUCCCCUAAGUCCUAUUACCUCAAAGUGCACAAAAUAAGCUGGAGUUGCAGAGUCUGUUUUAGUUAGCUAUUGAUAAUAUAAAGCUAUAGUACCAAAACCUUAUUUCAUUAGCAGGAACACAGUCAAUAACACAUUUACAACUUAUCUUCUUAGAUCACCAACUUUGGUUUCAGGCCUAGGCCCUCUAUAUUCCUCAUCCUAAGACAGCACACAUGAGACACAAAAACACAUUAACUUAUUUUUGCUGAGAGAAUUACCUUUGUCAAAAACAAUGCUUAUUACAUAAUGUACUAGAUCAGUGUUAGUUUUCCCCGCCCCUCAACAGCGGGUUAAAAAGUAAAUCUGGCUUCUAACGCCAGCACCCUGGUUUCUCACUCUUACUUCCUGGCUUUAACUUCCACCUAGUUUUAGGUCACUGAGAGGAGCCACUUUGUUGAUGGGCAGAGUUAGUCUUCAUAAUACUUCCACAUCCCUGCCUUUACCUACAUACUCUCAGUGAUCUCUUCACUGCCAUUCCAUCCAGUUAUGAGGGCAAUAACAACAUGCCAGAAGCAGCAGUCCAACCUCAGCCUCAGAGGGGAGACACCCAACACACACAGGGAGAUGGACACAGUGGCCGGCCAAACUCACCAGCUUUGGCAGCAGCUAAUCUGAUAAUCCCCUUCACAGGAAAACUCAAGCUCCUAGUGUUAAAAGGAUAAUUAUCCACACAUUUGAUCUCUGUCCCUGCCUGCAUUUUGUUUGACCUGCCAGCUUACUAGUUUGCCAAGGACCUAAACAAGUUACUCCAGGAGACACUACACAACCAUGGCUAUUCCUAAGACUUCACCACAGGAGCAAGAAUGACUGAAGAAC
ensembl:antisense Gm12333 predicted gene 12333